rnacentral:rRNA from 1 species
CCUACGGGUGGCUGCAGUGGGGAAUAUUGGACAAUGGGCGAAAGCCUGAUCCAGCCAUGCCGCGUGUGUGAAGAAGGCCUUCGGGUUGUAAAGCACUUUCAGUGGGGAAGAAAGCCUUGGGGCUAAUACCCUCGAGGAAGUACAUCACCCACAGAAGAAGCACCGGCUAACUCCGUGCCAGCAGCCGCGGUAAUACGGAGGGUGCGAGCGUUAAUCGGAAUUACUGGGCGUAAAGCGCGCGUAGGCGGUCUGAUAAGCCGGUUGUGAAAGCCCCGGGCUCAACCUGGGAACGGCAUCCGGAACUGUCAGGCUAGAGUGCAGGAGAGGAAGGUAGAAUUCCCGGUGUAGCGGUGAAAUGCGUAGAGAUCGGGAGGAAUACCAGUGGCGAAGGCGGCCUUCUGGACUGACACUGACGCUGAGGUGCGAAAGCGUGGGUAGCAAACAGGAUUAGAUACCCGAGUAGUC